GACGAACGCUGGCGGCGUGCUUAACACAUGCAAGUCGAACGAAGUGGCGAACGGGUGAGUAACGUGUAAUCAACCUGCCCUUCAGUGGGGGACAACAGUUGGAAACGACUGCUAAUACCGCUUAAUGAAGGAGGGGUUUGCGUCUGAUUAGCUGGUUGGAGGGUUAACGGCCCACCAAGGAGAGGAUCAGUAGCAGGUCUGAGAGGGGGAACGGCAACAUAGGGAAGGAGAAGCGGCCCAGACACCAACGGGGGGCAGUAGUGGGGAAUCUACCGCAAUGGACGGAAGACUGACGGAGCAACACCGCGUGAGUGGUGACGGCCUUCGGGUUGUAAAGCUGUGUUAAUCGGGACGCGGUACCGGAAUAGAAAGCCACGGCUAACUACGUGCCAGCCGCCGCGGGAAUAC
rnacentral:rRNA from 1 species